CCCAACAUCUUUAAUAGGAUGUUACGAUUGUGUGAAUACAUAGCACAUUCGAGGUAGACGCAGAGAACUGAAACAUCUAAGUACCUGCAGGAAGAGAAAGAAAAUUCGAUUCCCUGAGUAGCGGCGAGCGAAACGGGAAAAGCCCAAACCAGCAAGCUUGCUUGUUGGGGUUGUAGGACUCCAAUAUGGUAGUUCUUUCAGAUAGUCGAAUGACUUGGAAAAGUCAGUCAAAGAGGGUAAAAACCCCGUAGACGAAAUGUGGAAGACACCUAGGAGGAUCCUGAGUACGGCGGAACACGAGAAAUUCCGUCGGAAUCCGGGAGGACCAUCUCCCAAGGCUAAAUACUCCCUAGUGACCGAUAGUGAACCAGUACCGUGAGGGAAAGGUGAAAAGCACCCCGGAAGGGGAGUGAAAUAGAACCUGAAACCGUGUGCCUACAACAAGUCAAAGCCCGUUAAUGGGUGAUGGCGUGCCUUUUGUAGAAUGAACCGGCGAGUUACGAUUGCAUGCGAGGUUAAGUUGAAGAGACGGAGCCGCAGCGAAAGCGAGUCUGAAUAGGGCGUUUGAGUAUGUAGUCGUAGACCCGAAACCAUGUGAUCUACCCAUGUCCAGGUUGAAGGUGCGGUAAAACGCACUGGAGGACCGAACCCACGUACGUUGAAAAGUGCGGGGAUGAGGUGUGGGUAGCGGAGAAAUUCCAAACGAACUUGGAGAUAGCUGGUUCUCUCCGAAAUAGCUUUAGGGCUAGCCUCGGAAUUGAGAAUGAUGGAGGUAGAGCACUGUUUGGACUAGGGGCCCAUCUCGGGUUACCGAAUUCAGAUAAACUCCGAAUGCCAUUCAUUCAUAUCCGGGAGUCAGACUGUGAGUGAUAAGAUCCAUAGUCGAAAGGGAAACAGCCCAGACCACCAGCUAAGGUCCCAAAAUAUAUGUUAAGUGGAAAAGGAUGUGGGGUUGCACAGACAACUAGG
rnacentral:rRNA from 1 species